rnacentral:piRNA from 1 species
GAUAGAACUGGCACAGCUAUUAAAUCUGG